CAGGAACUGAAGUAUGAAUUUGAGCAG
rnacentral:piRNA from 1 species